UCCUUGAUGGCUCAAUCAGGCAGAGCGUCUGCCUUGUAAGCAGGAGAUCCCGGGUUCGAGUCGCGGUCGGGGCA